rnacentral:rRNA from 2 species
UGCAAGUCGAGCGGAAGGCCCUUCGGGGUACUCGAGCGGCGAACGGGUGAGUAACACGUGAGCAACCUGCCCUAGGCUUUGGGAUAACCCCGGGAAACCGGGGCUAAUACCGAAUAUGACUUCUGGUCGCAUGACUGGUGGUGGAAAGUUUUUCGGCCUGGGAUGGGCUCGCGGCCUAUCAGCUUGUUGGUGGGGUGAUGGCCUACCAAGGCGACGACGGGUAGCCGGCCUGAGAGGGCGACCGGCCACACUGGGACUGAGACACGGCCCAGACUCCUACGGGAGGCAGCAGUGGGGAAUAUUGCACAAUGGGCGGAAGCCUGAUGCAGCGACGCCGCGUGAGGGAUGACGGCCUUCGGGUUGUAAACCUCUUUCAGCAGGGACGAAGCGUAAGUGACGGUACCUGCAGAAGAAGCGCCGGCCAACUACGUGCCAGCAGCCGCGGUAAGACGUAGGGCGCGAGCGUUGUCCGGAUUUAUUGGGCGUAAAGAGCUCGUAGGCGGCUUGUCGCGUCGACUGUGAAAACCCGCAGCUCAACUGCGGGCCUGCAGUCGAUACGGGCAGGCUAGAGUUCGGUAGGGGAGACUGGAAUUCCUGGUGUAGCGGUGAAAUGCGCAGAUAUCAGGAGGAACACCGGUGGCGAAGGCGGGUCUCUGGGCCGAUACUGACGCUGAGGAGCGAAAGCGUGGGGAGCGAACAGGAUUAGAUACCCUGGUAGUCCACGCUGUAAACGUUGGGCGCUAGGUGUGGGGGGCCUCU